GGCGCGCUUACACAUGCAAGUCGCACGAGAAAGUGGAGCAAUCCAUGAGUACAGUGGCGUACGGGUGAGUAACACGUGGAUCAUCUACCUCUUAGUGGGGAAUAACCCUGGGAAACCGGGGCUAAUACCGCAUAAGCUCGAGAGAGGAAAGCAGCAAUGCGCUGAGAGAGGAGUCCGCGGCCGAUUAGCUAGUUGGCAGGGUAAACGCCUACAAAGGCAAAGAUCGGUAGCCGGCCUGAGAGGGCACACGGCCACACUGGCACUGAAACACGGGCCAGACUCCUACGGGAGGCAGCAGUGGGGAAUCUUGCACAAUGGGGGAAACCCUGAUGCAGCGACGCCGCGUGAGCGAUGAAGCCCUUCGGGGUGUAAAGCUCUUUCGGCAGGGACGAUCAUGACGGUACCUGCAGAAGCAGCUGCGGCUAACUACGUGCCAGCAGCCGCGGUAAUACGUAGGCAGCGAGCGUUGUUCGGAGUUACUGGGCGUAAAGGGUGUGUAGGCGGUUGCUUAAGUUUGGUGUGAAAUCUCCCGGCUCAACUGGGAGGGUGCGCCGAAUACUGAGUGACUCGAGUGCGGGAGAGGAGAGUGGAAU
rnacentral:rRNA from 1 species